UACAGAGGUCCCAAGCGUUGUUCGGAUUCAUUGGGCGUAAAGGGUGCGUAGGUGGCGUCGUAAGUCGGGUGUGAAAUUUCGGAGCUCAACUCCGAAACUGCAUUCGAUACUGCGGUGCUUGAGGACUGGAGAGGAGACUGGAAUUCCCGGUGUAGUGGUGAAAUGCGUAGAUAUCGGGAGGAACACCAGUGGCGAAGGCGACUUCUUGGCCUGUUCUUGACGCUGAGGCGCGAAAGCUGGGGGAGCAAACGGG
rnacentral:rRNA from 1 species